rnacentral:misc_RNA from 1 species
CAGAUAAAGCUGCUGAAGGAGAGCUUGAGAUACUCUAUGAGAUAGGAGAGCUUUUGGCAUCCACUACUUGCUUGUGCUUCUUGAGGGAGAAACUCAUUUGGAAUCCAGAAAAUGCAACAAAGGAUAGUAAAGAGCCAUGGCGUGCACUGUAUGGUUGAAAUUCAGGUAUUUGUGAGCUUUAGAAGUGGAGAAGUUACAAGUAAUUUGGUGCAUCUGAUUGAAAAACUAUGGAUCCUUAUGGUGUCUGUUAUGAAAAUUCAUAGACAUUACAGUU